AAGCCUCUGCUAAUGUGUAAAUAGUUUAUACUAAGUGACCCAUAGGUUGAGGAGGCAGUGACCGUGGUGGUGUAGGUGGAAGCAGCGGUGGAGGAGGAGGAUAAGGUGGCCAACACUGUUUUAUAUAUAUAAAAUAUUGGGACAUAUAAAAAAAGACAACUCUGUUCCGCAGAGUAGCUGUUGACAUUAUAGUUGUGCAGGCACUUUGUUGACUCUAGAGAACCUUGGGCCAAUCGAACAUCCCCGUGGCGUCAGCUUUGCAUUCGGAUGACAUCCAGAUCAACUUUCGAUGCCAGUUUCUGCGUCUACCAUGGUGACCACGGGUAACAGGGAAUCAGGGUUCCAUUCCGUACAGGGGCCCUGAGAAAAGUCUACCACAUGCAAGGAAGGCA